GAUGAACGCUGGCGGCGUGCCUAAUACAUGCAAGUCGAGCGAAUGGAUUGAGAGCUUGCUCUCAAGAAGUUAGCGGCGGACGGGUGAGUAACACGUGGGUAACCUGCCCAUAAGACUGGGAUAACUCCGGGAAACCGGGGCUAAUACCGGAUAACAUUUUGAACUGCAUGGUUCGAAAUUGAAAGGCGGCUUCGGCUGUCACUUAUGGAUGGACCCGCGUCGCAUUAGCUAGUUGGUGAGGUAACGGCACACCAAGGCAACGAUGCGUAGCCGACCUGAGAGGGUGAUCGGCCACACUGGGACUGAGACACGGCCCAGACCCCUACGGGAGGCAGCAGUAGGGAAUCUUCCGCAAUGGACGAAAGUCUGACGGAGCAACGCCGCGUGAGUGAUGAAGGCUUUCGGGUCGUAAAACUCUGUUGUUAGGGAAGAACAAGUGCUAGUUGAAUAAGCUGGCACCUUGACGGUACCUAACCAGAAAGCCACGGCUAACUACGUGCCAGCAGCCGCAGUAA
rnacentral:rRNA from 1 species